rnacentral:lncRNA from 1 species
GAAAGUUCCAGCCGUCCUUGUGUUUUCCCAACACUUAGUUUCACUGUGUUAGCCAAGGCCAGUGAGCGUCCUUGUUGAUACGACCUGAGCCCUAGGACCAUGCCUCAGGACUACCUAGCAUGAUGACUCCUUGCUGUCCCCAGUCCACCUGGCCAUGCUGCUGCUCCAGUUCUGCCUGCGGCUAUGGAACACUGACCUGUUCACCGGACGUGCUACCUGUCCCAGACCUGCUGUUUUCAACUCUCUAGAGACAGCAGGAGCGGUAGAGAUGAUCGGCUAUGAUCGGCUAUGAAAAGCCAACUGACAUUUACUCUUGAGGUGCUGACUUGUUGCACCCUCGACAACUACUCUGAUUAUUAUUUGACCAUGCUGGUCAUUUAUGAACAUUUGAACAUCUUGGCCGUGUUCUGUUAUAAUCUCCACCCGGCACAGCCAGAAGAGGACUGGCCACCCCUCAUAGCCUGGUUCCUCUCUAGGUUUCUUCCUAGGUUUUGGCCUUUCUAGGGAGUUUUUCCUAGCCACCGUGCUUCUACACCUGAAUUGCUUGCUGUUUGGGGUUUUAGGCUGGGUUUCUGUACAGUACUUUGAGAUAUCAGCUGAUGUAACAAGGGCUAUAUAAAUACAUUUGAUUUGAUUUAGUGUAGGCUAUAUAACACUGACUAUGUUUACAUGCCUGCCCAAGAUAAUUAGAGUAAGGUGAUUACAUGACUAAUGCCACAUGGUCUAUAGCCAUAAUCAGUUUUAUAUCAAAUUAUUAGUGUGCAUGAGAAAGUUCUGACAAUGGUCCAAAAUCCAAAUGUCAAACGUUACUGUUUAAACUCUUUAUGAAUCUCACUUAAUGGACUCAAUCACCAAUGUUGAUAUCAAUUUAAUUUCUAGUUUAAAAUUGUGUUUUUAAAAUUAAGAAAUGAAACUUUAAACUGACUGAGUUCAAAUGGAAUAGCCCUAAAGAGCCCUGUGUGUGUUGGGCUGACUUCUGACCUUUCAAAGAUGGAGCCCACUCCAGCGGGCACUGCUUUAGCCAAGAGGAUCGAUCCCACCUUUCAUCGUCACAGAGGGAUGCGAGAACGAGGAUAUGAGCAGCUCUUUCCAGCCUGACAGAGAGAUACAGUGACAGUUUAGCCUGGAUUGAAUACUUUAUUGUGACAACUAGAAUUACUCGGUUAUCGAGUGUUGUGUAUAUGGGGGUUCCUGUAUGUGUGCCUGUGUAUGUAUAUAAGUAGGACGAUGUGUGUGUGAGCAUGCAUGAGUACGUGUGCUAUGGCGUGUGAGAUGUGCUGUACCUGGUCAUGGUAAGAUGGUCGUCCAGUGGCAGCUCUGAGAAAUAGGGGAACUUCCUGGCCCACUUCACUAGGGUGAAAAAGCUGCUCAAUAAUCAGCUAUGACAGAGGAACACAGUGACAGGGCAGAUACCCCAGAUGUCUGUCAUAGGGGAUAGGCAAAAAAUAUCUGCAGGACAUGUACAGUUGAAGUCGGAAGUUUACAUACACCUUAGCCAAAUACAUUUAAACUCAGUUUUUCACAAUUACUGACAUUUAAUCCUCGUAAAAAUUCCCUGUCUUAGGUCAGUUAGGAUCACCACUUUAUUUUAAGAAUGUGAAAUGUCAGAAUAAUAGUAGAGUGAUUUAUUUCAGCUUUUAUUUCUUUCAUCACAUUCCCAGUGGGUCAGAAGUUUACAAUUAGUAUUUGGUAGCGUUGCCUUUAAAUUGCUUAACUUGGGUCAAAAGUUUCAGGUAGCCUUCCACAAGCUUCUCACAAUAAGUUGGGAGAAUUUUGGCCCAUUCCUCCUUACAGAGCUGGUGUAAUUGAGUCAGGUUUGUAGGCCUCCUUGCUCGCACACACUUUUUCAGUUCUGCCCACAAAUUUUCUAUAGGAUUGAGGUCAGGGCUUUGUGAUGGCCAAUUCAAUACCUUGACUUUGUUGUCCUUAAGCCAUUUUCCCACAACUUUCGAAGUAUGCUUGUGGUCAUUGUCCAUUUGGAAGACCCAUUUGCGACCAAACUUUAACUUCCUGACUGAUGUCUUGAGAUGUUGCUUCAAUAUAUCCACCUAAUUUUCCUCAUGAUGCCAUCUAUUUUGUGAAGUGCACCAGUCCCUCCUGCAGCAAAGCACCCCCACAACAUGAUGCUGCCACGCCUGGGCUUCACGGUUGGGAUGGUGUUCUUCAGCUUGCAAGCCUCCCAAUUUUUCCUCCAAACAUAACGAUGGUGAUUAUGGCCAAAGAGUUAUAUUUUGUUUCAACAGACCAGAGGGCAUUUCUCCAAAAAGUAUGAUCUUUGUCCCCAUGUGCAGUUGCAAACCGUAGUCUGGCUUUUUUUAUGCCGGUUUUGGAGAAGUGGCUUCUGCCUUGCUGAGCGGCCUUUCAGGUUAUGUCGAUAUAGGACUCGUUUUACUGUGGAUAUAGAUACUUUUGUACCUGUUUCUUCCAGCAUCUUCACAAGGUCCUUUGCUGUUGUUCUGGGAUUGAUUUGCACUUUUCGCACCAAAGUACGUUCAUCUCUAGCAGACAGAACGCGUCUCCUUCCUGAGUGGUAUGAUGGCUGCGUGGUUCCAUGGUGUUUAUACUUGCGUACUAUUGUUUGUACAGAUGAACGUGGUACCUUCAGGCAUUUGGAAAUUGCUCCCAAGGAUGAACCAGACUUGUGGAGGUCUACAAGUCUGUCUUAACUGACUUGCCAAAACUAUAGUUUGUUAACAAGACAUUUGUGGAAUGUUUGAAAAACGAGUUUUAAUCACUCCAACCUAAGUGUAUGUAAACUUCUGACUUCAACUGUAGGCCUAUUUUACUGACAUUUAAAGUUGGAUAGAGAGAAUAAAACAGACACCGAUACAUAUGGUAGACAGAGACAGAGGUUUGUUGGACAUACUAACAGAGUUUCCUGCGCUGCCUGGCCUCCAUGUAGACUUCAGUCUUGGUGUCAAGAGCCAGUUCAGAGCUCAGUAUCUUCUUGGAUGUGGUCCUUGCUAAAACUACUGGUGGACUUCACCUGGCCCUGCUGACACUCCUUCUGCACUGCUGCCAAACACAAUACACAGGGUCCAGGGGUCACACACAUAGUUACCUACUCACACUCAGGAGUAUCUUAUAGCAUGUGACACUGUAGUGUUUUAUUUACCAGGAGUGUCCAAAGAUGGGCUUCCUGAAAAUGACUUCUAGGUGGAGUUCUACACCAAGUCGUGCCUCUUUGUUAAAAAGCAAAAAGACUGUAGGACAUUUUGAGCAAAACAUUUAUAUCAUCAUUGCCCCUAUUUGACUAUCAUUGUAGCCUUGCAGCAAACAUUAUUCAUUGUUGUAAGAAUUCACAGAGAUUAACUAAAAUGACUCAUUUUCUUUUGGAUCAUGACAUAUGCUUGUGAAACUAUUUACAGACUGUGGUUUUUAUUUAAAAAUGUCAUUCUAUAUUUGCAGAACACAUAUUUUGUUUGUGACUUACUACUUAUAUAUUUAAAACAUUUUGAAAGAAAUCUCCAUGCUCGGGAGCUACGAGGUGUGUGUACAUGAAUCCAUGUUGAUAUAAUGGACAAGUAUGAUACUGGUAGAAGAGAGGAAACGAGGGAAGAGGAGGAAUUAGAGAGGAGAUAAAGAGACUCAUUAGCAGAUCAGAGUGGUGCUAAUGACUACACCCCAAACCAUCCGCUGUACCUCUGGGGUUCACACUCCUGACCCAGAUACACACUCUGAGAACAGGGGGCAGUAACAGUUUCCAGUUACCAUCCGGCUGGAUAAAAGCACAGAGAGACGGCAAUUAUAGGAGCUAGGCACAACUGUUGAUUUGGGAGCAUUAACCAAUGUGCAGAUUUACUUUUUUGUUCUACAUUAUUCUCUUGAGCCCAGAACCUGGGUAAAGUUUUGGUAACACUUUAUUUGGAUAGGCCAUCUGUAGAUGCUCUACAGACUAUCAGUAAUAUUUCAAUUAACUAUCUACUAACCCUAACCCUCGCUCUAACCCUAACCCUUAUUCUAAACCUAACCCGUAACCUUAGCAAGCAGUUGCUUAUCAACAUAUGGUCAUACAAUCAACAAACUAUCUGCAGAGAAUCUACAGAUCGAAAAUCAGGACUAUCCAAAUAAAGUGUGACCAUAAAAAAUAAAUACAAAUUUUAUGAGUGAGAGUGUCUAUAUAAUAUAUACGUGUUUUUGACUGGACCUCAACUGGUGUUGGUUGAUGCUCCAAAGCAGAGAGCAUCACCCCCCGGGUGGAAAUCUUAUCAUAGGCUGCAGCUCUCAGAGACUGAACAUAAAUCUGGGCCAGUAAUGGUGUGGCACUAUUCAUAGAUUAUCUACAGUAAACCCAAUCUUAAUAUUAUAUUAGAAUUUGCAGCAGCAGAUUAUACAUUAUCCGUUUUCUGACCUCUUGCUGCUUUGAACUAGGAAAUAGAUUAAAGCCCUAUUCGGACGGAACUAGCAUUAGGCCUACUAUAGAACGUCGGUAAUGUAAUUAUUAUCUCAGCAUGUCCGUUUUUCCAGAGGACGAUUUGGACAGGAUUACUUUGACCAAAUUGACCCCUGUAAUUCUUUUUUUUUUCUCAUUGAAAAUUGACCGUUAUGACAGAAUCCUGGAGGCUGUUCUAGGCGUAAAGAUAUUUCAACUUGUCUGCGGAUAGCCUUAUAUUGGCUUCCAGUUCAGAGAAAGUCAUAAUAAUGCAUUUCAAUAAAGAACAAUGUACUGUAUGCAGACCUGUAUGCAGAACUGUAAUUAUCUGACUUAUUUAGCAAUUUGAUUAAUUGGCACAAUGUCACCUGCUUAAACUUUUUUUUAAAGUAAGAACUGGUAAAGUUGAUGAGGCAGCACCUGUCAAACUCUGUAAAUUCCUUCAAAACACAGGGGGAUAACUUUCUACAAUUCUACACAUUUUGCCAUAGGCCAAAGAUAGUUUUAUAGCUAAUCUCAUGCUAUUCUGCACAUUUUGCCAUGAGGCUGAGAGACAAUUUUGACAAAAUACUGUUUGAUGAGCUAGCUAAGUUAGAUAGCAAGGUAUACCAGUUAUCAAAGAGGAUGUUAGCUAGCUUAGCAUGCAUGGCAAGACCACUAUUGUCAAAGAUGGUAGACCGUCUCAGGUGUUGUGUCAACAUUACAACCAGGAUGGACUGUCCUAUGGGACGCAAAAACGCUGGCACAUACACAGAUGCAGCUCUGAUGCAAUGCAAUGAUCUUUUAUACUCUGUAGUUUAUAGCAGUCAGUACAUAUACAUUCACAUAGCUAUGAGUGAGAAUGUUGUAAACUGUAAAGUAGCUAUACAUAUCUCUCUCAACAUAUAUCUCUACAUUGCAUAUUUAGUCCACAAUUUCUUUGACAUUUGGCUCGUUGUUCUUGCACAGGAAAGAAAUGGAGACAAUUUUCAGGGACCUACCAGAUCACAACAAACAGUGAGAGGGAGAUAAAAAUGAUGGUUAUGUAGAAAUACGACCACUACUAGGUGUCAUCGUAUACCCACAAAUCAAAAUGAUUUCAACACUACACCAGCUUGCUGCACUGGUAUAAAACAUUACGUUUCUGUGGGAGGUGCAGAGCUGUUGGCUGGGAUAAGGGUAGCCAGGUGGAAAGCAUGGUCAGCCGUAGAAAAAUUCUUAUUGAAAUGAUCAAUUAUCGUAGAUUUAUCGGUGGUGACAGUUUCCUAGCCUCAGCGCAGUGGGCAGCUGGGAGGAGGUGCUCUUAUUCUCCAUGGACUUUACGGUGUCCCAAAACUUUGAAAUUGAAAUUAGUGCUACAUGAUACAAAUUUCUGUUUGACAAAGCCAGUCUUAGCUUUCCUAACUGACUGUACUGUAUAUUGGAUCCUGACUCCCCUGAAAAGUUGCAUAUCGCGGGGGCUAUUUGAUGUUAAUGCAGUACGCCACAGGAUGUUUUUGUGCUGGUCAAGGGCAGUCAUGUCUGGUGUGAGCCAAGGGCUAUAUCUGUUCUUAGUUCUACAUUUUUUGAAUGGGGCAUGCUUAUUUAAGAUGGUGAGGAAAGCACUUUUAAAGAGCAACCAGGCAUCCUCUACUGACGGGAUGAGGUCAAUAACUUUCCAGGAUACCCAGGCCAGGUCGUUUAGAAAGGCCUGCUUGCUGAAGUGUUUUAGGGAGCGUUUGACAGUGAUGCGGGGUGGUCGACCGCGGACCCAUUACGGACGCAGGCAAUGAGGCAGUGAUCGCUGAGAUCCUGGUUGAAGACAGCAGAGGUGUAUUUAGAGGGCAAAUUGGUUAAGAUGAUAUCUAUGAGGGUGCCCAUGGUUACGGAUUUAGGGUUGCACCUGGUAGAUUCCUUGAUCAUUUGUGUGAGAUUGAGGGCAUCUAGCUUAGAUUGUAUGAUGGCCGGGGUAUAAUUCAUAUCCCAGUUUAAG